rnacentral:rRNA from 1 species
UUCCGGUUGAUCCCGCCGGACCUGACUGCUAUCGGAUUGAUACUAAGCCAUGCUAGUCUUUGUAGUAAUACAAGGCAUACGGCUCAGUAACGCGUAGUCAACCUACCCUAUGGACGGGGAUAAUCUCGGGAAACUGAGCAUAAUACCCGGCAGACCACUUAUCCUGGAAUGGUUAGUGGUUAAAAUGAUUCGUCGCCAUAGGAUGGGACUGCGGCCUAUCAGCUUGUUGGUGAGGUAAUGGCCCACCGAGGCGAUUACAGGUACGGGCUCUGAGAGGAGAGGCCCGGAGAUGGGUACUGAGACAAGGACCCAGGCCCUAUGGGGCGCAGCAGGCGAGAAAACUUUGCAAUGUGCGAAAGCACGACAAGGUUAAUCCGAGUGAUUUCUGCUAAAGGAAUCUUUUGUUAGUUCUAAAAAUACUAGUGAAUAAGGGGUGGGCAAGUUCUGGUGUCAGCCGCCGCGGUAAAACCAGCACCUCAAGUGGUCAGGAGGAUUAUUGGGCCUAAAGCAUCCGUAGCCUGUUCUAUAAGUUUGCGGUUAAAUCUAUACGCUUAACGUAUAGGCUGCCGUAAAUACUGUAGAACUAGGGAGUGGGAGAGGUAGACGGUACUCGAUAGGAAGGGGUAAAAUCCUUUGAUCUAUUGAUGACCACCUGUGGCGAAGGCGGUCUACCAGAACACGUUCGACGGUGAGGGAUGAAAGCUGGGGGAGCAAACCGGAUUAGAUACCCGGGUAGUCCCAGCUGUAAACGAUGCAGACUCGAUGAUGCAAUGGCAUAGAGCUAUUGCAGUAUCGCAGGGAAGCCGUUAAGUCUGCCGCCUGGGAAGUACGUACGCAAGUAUGAAACUUAAAGGAAUUGGCGGGGGAGCACCACAAGGGGUGAAGCCUGCGGUUCAAUUGGAAUCAACGCCG